CUUGGUUAGAACAGUAGAGCCUGAAGACAUAGCCCAGGAUCUUCAGUGUUCUGGGGCAGCCAAGGAAACUUCCUCAGGCUCCACAUGCCUUCCUGUUUGCAUUGUUUUCAGCUGAAUUUCAAGAGGCUGUCAGAGCAGGCCUGCCAGGCUUGUGAGGGCUGACUGACUCUGCCACUCUGUGCCUGGACUUAGAAAAUGCUGUGGUGACAACAGUAAUUAUU
rnacentral:lncRNA from 1 species